UUCCUACGGGGCGCAGCAGUGGGGAAUAUUGCACAAUGGGGGGAACCCUGAUGCAGCGACGCCGCGUGAGUGAAGAAGUAUUUCGGUACGUAAAGCUCUAUCAGCAGGGAAGAAAAAAGGACGGUACCUGAGUAAGAAGCCCCGGCUAACUACGUGCCAGCAGCCGCGGUAAUACGUAGGGGGCAAGCGUUAUCCGGAUUCACUGGGCGUAAAGGGAGCGCAGGCGGCAUGGCAAGUCUGAUGUGAAAACCCGGGGCCCAACCCCGGGAGUGCAUUGGACACUGCCAGGCUGGAGUGUCGGAGGG
rnacentral:rRNA from 1 species